rnacentral:sRNA from 1 species
AUAGGAUUAGAGGAGCCAAGAUCGAACCGUCUUCAGUAGAGUAGCAGCAGAAGCAGCUCCUUCAGGCCAAAUGAUGAAUUGGUAGAGGGUCAUCCAUACCAUCUCCAAGAUGCCAUUGUUGAUUGGACAUUGAGGUCCUGGUUUUGCUUAUCCGUUUCGUUCAUCAUCAUCCUGAUUCCUUCAUGCCCCUCCAAAACCACGGGGUUGCCUCUGCAGAUCACGGGUGCCCGGAUCUUGAAGCACAUGGACAGGCAUGGAGCAUGGGGUCCCUGUUACAGCUACAGAGAAACCCAGCUACACUGUAGCAACAUCAACUGUAAUAGUAACUACUCCCUCCGUUUAAAAAUAUUUGACACCGUUGACUUUUUAGCACAUGUUUGACCGUUUGUCUUAUUAAAAAAAAAUUGUGAAAUAUGUAAAACUAUAUGUGUACAUAAAAGUAUAUUUAACGAUGAAUCAAAUGAUAUGAAAAGAAUAAAUAAUUACUUAAAUUUUUUGAAUAAGAUGAAUGGUCAAACAUGUACUAAAAAAUCAACGGUGUCAAACAUUUUGAAACGGAGGUAGUAUAAAAGAUUAGGU